CCAUGAAACAAAUUUUAGUCUUCUAUACAUCAUCAUAUAAAGUAAGAUAAAUUUGAUUUUGAAAACGAAUUAGCAAUUACGAUACUGAAGAGUACGAGAGCCACACGAUGACAUCGACGGUCCAGAUUACUCAGCAUGUUUCCUAAGAAAAGCCUCUCGAAUUUGAAAUCCCUAACAGUACCAGUCGAGUAAGAAAGCUCAAAUCGAAGAAUCAUGGCGGCAACAAGCGACGAGCAGAUGCGUUUGCUUCUCUCCAGCUUCGAUCAGAUCUACGAGGAUUUCAAAAGCGGGAUGAGCGAGAUGAACGUGUUCAGAUCGAGGAGCAAUGUGGAAACCAGUAGAAGAGAGGCGCUUGAGAUUAGCAAUAAGACUCUUAAAGAAGAGAACGAAAGGCUGAAGAAGCUACAUACAGAAUCGUUAAACAACUUCGUAGAUCAGCUUGAGCAUCGAACUAAGUGCCACGGCUUGAAAGAAGAACUGAAGAGAGUGAAUGAUGAAAACAGAAGCAAAGAGCAUGAACAUAGGAAUGCUUUGGAGUCGCUUAUGCAGAAGCAUGUAGCAAAGGUUGAAGAGCUAGAGAACAAAAUCAGAAGCCUUUUGGUUGAAAAGGCAACAAACGAGAUGGUGAUUGAUAGGCUGCGCCAGGAUUUGGCAGCUAACAAAUCGCAUAUUCAAGCAAUGUCGAGGAAGCUGGAUCGAGUCUAUUCCGAAGUGGAAUCCAAGUAUGAAGUCGAGGUUCAGGAUCUGAAGGACUGUCUUCUCAUGGAGCAAGAAGAGAAAAUUGAUAUUACUAACAAACUUCAGAGUCUGCAGAAGGAACUGGUUAUAAGUAGAACAACAGUAGCCGAAAAGCAGAGGGAUACAACUUCAUAUCGACAGGUGGAGACUUUGAAGCAGAAGCUAAUGAAACUGAGAAAAGAGAAUGAGAUCCUUAAACGGAAACUAUCUUCUUCAUAGAACAGCCAGGAACAAAAACUUUGCUUGGCAAACACUUACUGCUCCGUCCCUCAACGAACUCUGCAGUUUCUCCUGAUCUCUCCAGCACGUCCGGUAAGGACUCCAAUGGUACCCAUUUUCUCCAUUGCCUGAGCAAAUCUCUGUCUGAAGAGUGAAUUGCUUUGUGCAAAACUCGACACAAUUCCACGGGUUGCUCCAUCGAAAGCCAAGUUUGAAUCAAUCCUCAUGACUGCUCUUUGUCUUUGCAUCUCUCCAAAGAUUGCGUUAUCCACAACGAAUGGAGUCCUUUGGUCCAAGAACACGGAUGGGUCAUUUGGGGCACGACAUGUGUUCCUCAACCUUUGAAAAGAGAUGUAUUAGUUGGUCAGAUAUACAUAAAAUUGAUGUUCAUUUGAUGCUAUGUAUCAAAAUACGUACUGAGCGUUCAGUGAGCGGUCCAUGGCAGGGUCAUUAAGCCUAUCCUGGAAAAGACUGCAAUGAAUAGAACCAACACUGUGGCCACCACCAAUUAGUGUAACCAUAUCGUUCACACUCAUGCCUUUAGCUGCAAAUGCUUGGAUGGAUGCGGACACAGGAAUUGUUGGUCCGGGCAAGUUCACAUCGGCUGGGUUUGACCUUAAUCCAUCACGUCUUCCUGUUUUUAUCAAGAAGCUUGGACCACCAGCUAAUUUGAUCGCAUCUCUGGUGGCUAGAGCUACAAUGUCUGCGCAUGAGACAAUUCCGGGGCACACAGCCUCGAGCUGUCUCUUAAUCUCAUCAAUGACCUCAUAGCCUCUCACGCUUGCAUUUGGUCCUGUGCUUUUCUCUGAUGGCCUUCCUGGUCUUGGGUCAAUCAAAAGGGAAGCAUCACAACCCUACACAAUCAUUCCAAACAUUGGUUGAUCAAUGUUAGUUACGUCUAUAUAUUAGUGAGUCCAUCAUAAUACAUAGUCACACACACAAGGAGAAGCUUACUAACCGUAACAAAGCAAUCAUGAAACUGCAUACGAAGCAAUGCUGCAGUAAUGCUAGGGUCGCUACGGAAACUGUUGGCAACGACAGUAGAAAUGAUAGAUCCAGCGCGGUGGCAUGAGGGACCGUAGAACGCAAACUUGAGUUGCGCCAAAGCAGAGGGAACAAGGAAA